CGUAGGCGGUCGGGUAAGUCUGAUGUGAAAUCUUCAAGCUUAACUUGGAAACUGCAUCGGAUACUAUUCGGCUAGAGGAAUGGAGGGGAGACUGGAAUACUUGGUGUAGCAGUGAAAUGCGUAGAUAUCAAGUGGAACACCAGUGGCGAAGGCGAGUCUCUGGACAUUUCCUGACGCUGAGGCACGAAAGCCAGGGGAGCAAACG
rnacentral:rRNA from 1 species